rnacentral:rRNA from 1 species
UUUAUCAAAAACAUCGCCUCUUGUAACCAAAAAAUAAGAGGUCCCGCCUGCCCUGUGACUAUAAGUUUAACGGCCGCGGUAUUUUGACCGUGCGAAGGUAGCGCAAUCACUUGUCUUUUAAAUGAAGACCUGUAUGAAUGGCACAACGAGGGCUUAGCUGUCUCCUUUUUCCAGUCAAUGAAAUUGAUCUCCCCGUGCAGAAGCGGGGAUAAAUACAUAAGACGAGAAGACCCUAUGGAGCUUUAGACACUAAAGUGGAUCAUGUCAAUAACCCCUAAACAAAGGAUUGAACCAAAUGGAACCCACCCUGAUGUCUUUGGUUGGGGCGACCGCGGGGAACUAAACAACCCCCAUGUGGAGUGGGAGCACCCCUCCUACAGCUAAGAGUUACGACUCUAAUAAACAGAAUUUCUGACCAAAAGGAUCCGGCAAAGCCGAUCAACGGACCUAGUUACCCCAGGGAUAACAGCGCAAUCCUCUUUUAGAGCCCAUAUCGACAAGGGGGUUUACGACCUCGAUGUUGGAUCAGGACAUCCUAAUGGUGCAGCCGCUAUUAAGGGUUCGUUUGUUCAACGAUUAAAGUCCUACGUGAUCUGAGUUC